UGGUAGUGUGACAUGCCCGUUGUGUUUUACUCUGAUUGUUGUGGAAUUAUUUUAUAUUUAAUUACUUUUGGGUAACGGGGUGUUACAUUCCU
rnacentral:pre_miRNA from 1 species